AACGAACGCUGGCGGCGUGGAUAAGACAUGCAAGUCGAACGCUGAUUUCAGGGUAGCAAUAUUCUGGAGUCGGAGUGGCGCAAGGGUGCGUAACACGUGGGUAAUUUGCCGUGAAGUUGGGGAUAACUCGCUGAAAGGCGAGCUAAUACCGAAUGUGAUCAUUGGAAGGCAUCUUCUGAUGAUUGAAGUUGGGGACCGCAAGGCCUGACGCUUCACGAUAAGCCCGCGGCCUAUCAGCUAG
rnacentral:rRNA from 1 species